CUUGUGACCAGCCAGGCACCUUUCCAAGCAGAGGCUGUUAAGUUCGUUGACAACAGAACCUGUAGAUGUUUUGAAGAGGAGAUUUCAACAAGGGACCUGCCUGCUUGGUCAUACCAGAGGCAGCUCCCUCAGUCUGUGAGAAUUGCUGACUUCAGAUACCCCUCAGAAGAAAUGGCUGUAUUGCAUAAACAUGUGUCCUGAGGACUGAACUCCCCGCCCCCAUUUAGUGAAGUAUGGCACUAAUGCCACCUGGAGGACGAACACAGACCAAAAAGGCUGCUGGAGGAAGCUCAGAAGGGUGUGCUGGAGAUACACUUACCAUUGGUAGCCAGAGAGGGUAGAAGCACACAGAGCUGUGGAAUUUUCAGUUAUGUCAUGUUGACAAACUGACUCAGCAGGAGGUGCCUACAUGGGAAAGAGAGUCCAUCUUCUCUGAAGCCCCCUCAAGGACAUGAUGGGAAAAUCAGGAAACUUCUGCCUCCCUGACUUGCUGGGAUUUGCUGUAUUCCCCUGGGCACUGAUCAGGCUGCAUUCCUCAA